UAUGAAGAAGAAUGUCAGGUUCAUUUCUGAAACUGAACAGAUUGAAAAGUUUUUUUUUUUUUAAAGCUUGGCUUCCUACAAGAGUUAUGCGUUACCAACACAUUAUCUGUGAGAAUCUCUCAACCCACAGAAAAAAAUUAAAAGUGGGAAAGAUUAGAAAAAGGUGUUUUGAGACAAAAAUCUCAACAAGUUUAGGUCUUACAACUUUCAUGAAAACAGCAAAUGAGACUAGUGACUAAGUCUCUGAUAGAGAAGCACUAAUUUUUUUUUCUUGAGGAACCACUAUAUUCUUCCUCCUCUACAGACCUGUUCUUAUCAGGUGUGUAACUUUCCUUUCCACUUCUACUACUAACUGGUUGGAAGAUAUGUUCCCCUGAGAAAGAUCUCUCUGGAACAAUGAGCUACUGAAAUAGCCCAGUCAUAGGGGGAAACAUUCUUCAAAAAACAGUAUGUAAGAUGCUUUGUUUAUUUGCACAAAUGUUUUGCAUAACUCCAUGUGUGACAUAUUACAUUGGUUAUACUAUUUACACUGGAGUCUAAAAUUGAGAGAAAUACAUUCACCACAAAUGAGGAGAGUCUGCCCUGGCAUCCUCGUUGAAAGAAAUCGUCUUUCUUUCCCUACUACUGCAACUGAGUGAAGUUAGUAACUUCAUAUAGCCCUACCAGCAUUUCUUUCUGCAAUAUUUGGCUUCUCCUUCUAGAUCAGCACAGCUGAGGAAAGUACAACACCAAAUUUGAUAAAGGACUCAGUACAUGUUCCAAAUUCAUCUCAUAUGCAUGCUAAACAAAUAUCUACUGGUUUGGAGCAACUUUUAGUCCUUGCUGAAGCAAAUGGGAUUCAAAGCAGCGACCUGAAUGUAAAAGGCCUUAUAAUGCUGUAACAAAGUCUUGUAGAAUCCCAUAUCCUCAACAAAUACAGCAAUACAUACAACCUGGUCUAGUGGAAAGCGUCCCUGCCCACAGCAGGUAGGUUGGAGUUAGAUGACCUUUAAGGUCCCUUCCAACCCAAACCAUUCUAUAAUUCCAUGAAAAAAAAAGUAAAAUUUAAGUUGCUCAUACAGUCCCAGAUCAGUCCCUUGUAAGCACACCCUACAAUACACAAUGUCCUCCCACAACAACACCAGCCCCGUGUAGCUAGAUCUAAACGUAGCUUAUAGCUCUUAGUGGCAAGGGGAUCAUCAGACCUACAUAGCAAACCUAUUCUGCUUGUUAGAAUCAUUGAAAAACUGAGACCAGCAUUACUUUAUUUUUCUUUCCUGUGAUUAAGCCCAUUGAGUAUAAUAUGGAAAUAUUUUGUCAGCAUAUUACACUUUUUUGGUGGUAGAGUGCUGGAAUGCUUGUCCUCAGGACUCACUUCAGGAAGUGACUCAGGAAGUCACUUCUGCUCCAGGCUGUGUGAGCAGUGUCUGGUCUCUAGCUGAGGAAAGGGGAGUAGAAGUAACUCAACCAAGUAGUUUGCUUUUCAGAAUGAGUAUACCAAUGUGGCUGGGUAAAGCUUGCAUAUAUGAUGGUAUACAUUUGGAGUAGAACCAUGGCUAGGGUUGGGCUGAGGCUGUACAGUCGUUUGGUUAGUUAUGUGCAAAAACAGUCCAGCUAUAGUUGCCUUCCCCAGGAAGAAAGUGGAAGUCGUUCAGAAUUAGUGGUACUUUGAAGCUAUGAAGAGGCUCAGGUAGGACUCCUUUGCAUGAGCUACCACCAGAGAUCUUCAGAUGCACUAACAGGUGCUGAACAGCUACUUUUCUCAGCAGAAAGAGCAUGAUGUUCAGCUGAAAGAGUGUUCCUCCAAGAUGAUAGACUCUGCUACACCCCAGCUGGAUGGUGAGGAAUUCAACCCUAUGUUUGUAAAGCAAAGCCACUUAGACAAAGCAGAUAGCAGCCCAAGGAGAGCAGCAAGGAAACGACACCUACUUCAGACUUCAAGUUACAGCACCCAAGCUGAAGAAGUUCCUGCAACUUGUAAGGAUCUGGGGCUGGUAUUUUCCUUUGGGAUGAGGGGUGGAAAAAGAUGCCAACAAUGCAUUGGCUAACUCCAAAUGUACUUAUUUUUUUGGAGUAAAUAAAAUUAUUUUGCAAACAUC